CAUUUCUUGGGCCGCUCCCGCAGCAUAUGGAGGUUCCCAGGCUAGGGGUCCAAUCGGAGCUGUAGCCACUGGCCUAUGCCAGAGCCAUAGCAACGCAGGAUCUGAGCCACAUCGCAACCUACACCACAGCUCACGGUGAUGCUGGAUCCUUAACCCACUGAGCAAGGCCGGGGAUCAAACCCGCAACCUCAUGGUUCCUAGUCGGAUUCGUUAACCACUUAGCCACGACGGGAACUCCUCCAACUUCUUCUUAUCCUUCUCUAGUUUUCCACAUUUCUUUUGCAUUCCUUGCAUCCGUAAUAAUUCCUGUUGAAGAACUUGAUUUUUUUUUUUUUUGUAUCCAGAUGUAGCCAUUUUGAACACGCAGUUUCCAGCUAUGCUGUCAGAUCUUCACUCUUCAAAAAUACAAUAAUAUACUGUAAGGAAGGAAGUGGACUGCGAAUACCUAAUCUCAAAACCAGUAUCACAUUUUGAAAUAAAUUCAGUUGCAAUAAAAUGGUAUCGAUAUUGUUGAGGAGAAUCUUGAAUUACUCAGAAAAUGAAGAAAAAGUUUCAAACCACCAAGAGUCACAAGAAUAAAUUUUUUGCUGUCAUCAUCUGUAUUUGCACUUGAUUUUAUACUUUUAUUUUUCUAUAAUUAUUUCAUAUCUUUUCCUCUGUAAAAUGACUCCAAAUCAUCUCUUAGUAGAAAGUCUCUUAAUACUUCCCCCUCAUCUUAACACUCCAUGAAUUUUACAGAAGUUUUAGGGAUAUGAUAUUGAAUUCUUUAGGGCUGAGUUAAUACAUGCCUCCCCAAAUAAGAUUUUGAAGACUCUAAGUAAUGAGCCUUGUUAGUAUGGAUUCUAAGGCCAUAAGCCUUUUGUUGAACUACAAAUAUUUUCUGAUAAUUUAAACUGCAUUCCAAGGAGAAAAGAUUCACAGGGUUAAGGAGAAAUCACAUCUCCCAGUAUAGAAUUUACUGAGAUGACUCAGGCAGUUUCCUGACCAAACAGUGCGUCUAUUUUUGUAAUUCUUUGUGACUUUCUAGAACAUAAGAGAACACACUACACCAAAACAAACCAAAAACUCGCUGGAAUUUCGGUGACACUGAGUUGGGAAGAAGUACUCUCCUUUAGAUAUAGUGAUGACUUGGUAAGACAAAGUGAGUGGAUGCCGUGGUUUAAAAACAUGUCUACAAAUGCCUGGACAAUUCUUCCAUGAAAUUCACUCUCCUUCAACAUGUGCUGCCUCUAUAACUGCUAUCUAGUAGCAAUAGAAUAUAGGGGAUUUCUAAGGGUAAACAGCUUCCAACUCUCACUCUGGAGGGAAGCUCAACCUUAGAACCAGCCACCUUGUUGCAGAUAAGCCCCAAGUUGGUGGGACCAAGUCCGCGCGCGCGGGGUCGACCAGCUGUCCUGGCCGACUCGGUCCCAGGCCACACAGGGAGUCUUUAUAGAGGGCUCUGUCCCAGCUGACCACUUCAGCUACCGUGAAAACGUAUCCAAAAUGUAUUCCUAGUGGGAAAAAUGUGCCUGUCUCUCUGCCUAGUGUGUGCAGGGGGCUGAAUGGUGGCCCCAAAGCCUAUGUCCAAUCCUGACGCCCAUGUGUAUGAACCAAGCCUUGUUUGGAAAUAGGGUCUUUGCAGAUGGAAUGAAGUGAAGGCUGACACCUGGAUCUCAGGCUUUGGGCCCGAGUUGGGCUCUAAGCCUCGAGGUUUGCAGUCCUUCAUUCUGGCUGCCUGAGAAGGCUGCCGCAGGCUCCGUGAAGAACCGGUCUGCUGUUUUGUCGGUGUCGGCCUGGUUUGGCAGUAGGGGCGACUCCCAGUGCCCACCUUUUUGUCCUAAGGAGAGGGUCGCUGGCUGUACUGGGUCACGAGACCAGCAGCAAACACACAACUAUCUGAGUGGAUGCUGGGAUGUGACAUCGGUAGUGAGUUCAUGGCCAUGCUGGUGACCUCAGAUCCUCCCCUCCACCCCAGCUCCUGCCCCGCUGGCUGUGUUGAGUCCUGAGCAGCGCCCUGGCUGCAGGGGGCAGUUUCUGUGCUCCUCUUGCCUAGUGGGCAUCCCCCUAACAGGCCACAGAGUCAGUGUGGGGCCUGUCAGCCGCCACUUGCCACUCCGAGGAUCAGGACCCAGGUGGGAGCUGGACCCUGCAUGUGACCCUGCUGGCACCGACUCUCACUGCCCCAGGCACCGAUGCAGACACUGACCUCCUGAUACCAUGGUCUCCCCUCCUGAAGCAAAUGCCCCUGCCCCUGGGGAAGCUGCUACUGGAUCCCCUGAUACCCGUCCUUCCUCUGGCAGCACAGCCCUGGUCUGAGCCAGGUCAAGUUCAAGACCAGGGCUUCUUCCUGGGGUGCAGCCCUCCCCUGCGCCCCAUGGCCUAGGCCUGACUCCGUGGCAUCGGUCAGGUUACCCCUCAGUCAGCUGCCCAUUCCUCUCCUUUGACUCUGAUAUUAGGGCACUGUCACCCCCACUGCUCCGGCCACCGUGUUCUCCUUGCCUUGGUCCAGAAGGUGCCUCCUGUCAUUCUCAGGGACAGAUGUGGCCUUAAUUUUUCCAACACUUGCAGACCCCCCUCCGCUGGCUCACCUGCCAGCCUCUGAUACCCCCACUGUCUCCUGUGCAGUGCUGGCAUUUGUAUCUGCUGCUGUGUGACAUCACUCCUUUCACGAUUUCAAAUGUCCUCAUCUGAUCUUCUUGGCCCGCACGUCUGCCAGAGUCUCUCUACCCACCACUGGGCCUGAGUUGGGCGGGAAGGUGGCAGCCUGUCUGAUCUGGCACCUCCAGGGCAGCUAGAGCAGCAGCCGACCCCAAUGUCUUAGUCCUCAGUGUGGCCACAGCAUCUAACUGCCUCCUGGCGCUCCAUCCAAGGCCUCUGCACAGAGCUUUGGGCCAUCGUGAUGUCAUGGUGUGUCAGGGGUCCUCCCUGUGCCCUGGUCCCCAGGUCAAGCUGGCGCUAUCCCCGAGUAGAUGGGGGCUCAGCAGGGCAGGCAGAAGAGGCUGCUUAUGACCUGCAGGGGGUCACGCUGGGCUGUGAGUACCAGGAGGUGACCAGGGCCACAGGCCACUGGCCCCUCCGGCCUCCGGCUACCGUGCCGAGGGUGCGGUGGGCGAGCAGGCGGGCAUCCCAGCUCAGAGCAUGUGGCGGGGACGCAGCCCUUGGGAUACCAGUGCAUUCUGGCACAGCUGUGGUUUACAAUGAAUAAAUAGCAUGCAUUGGGUGCACAAAUAUUGAUUCUUUACAUUAAAACAUUUCCAAUCCUGUAGAUACUUCGGAAAAGGGAAGCUCAACCCGUAAUUAUGUAUCUUCAAGAAAUGAAAAUUGGGAUUUAUCUGUGUAAUAAUUCCCUAUGUUGUAACUGAUAACAAUGGUAAUAAAAUUCCCUGGGGAUAAGAAGAUUCCAUCAGAGGCUGUAGACACCACAGUAGAAAUCGGUUCGGAAGAGGGGCUCUAAGGAGACCACAGCCUGGGGGAAGCCUCGGGUCCCAUCCAUCCUGCCGGCCCUGCUGUCUGGGGCUGCUUGGUAAACCCCAGGGCCAGCAUGGUCCUUCCAGGUGGCCACAAAAAGCUUAAUUUCACAGCUGAUCACAAAACACAGAAUUUGCUCUGUGGGUAAUGCCAUCCUGUGCUUGCAGGCUUGCACAUUACUUAGUUAUCACAUAAUUUUUUUUCUUUUUUUGCUUUUUAGGGCCAUACCCAUGAGAUACGGAGGUUCCCAGUGUGGCCCUAAACAACCAAAAAAAAAAAAA
rnacentral:lncRNA from 1 species